CGCACAAGUUUUUCCAAACACGGCAAAUUGCGACAUUGUCGAAAAUGAGCUGUAUAGACGGUCACGUGAUAUCUCCCCUAUCAACGAAGCUGAAAAUCAGGAGGAUGACAUCAUUAUGUCAGAUGCAUACGCGAGUGUGGAUAUGCUAGCUACGAGCACGUGCCCACCACGUGAGCAGGGUGCGUCAUGUGACGUCGACGUAGACAACCUGUAUGCUAAACCUGAUAAAAGCAGGUCUUCAAAUGUUCAACAAGUUUCAGAUAUAUACGCUGUAGUAAAUAAACCCUGAAGAAGAAGAGGCAAGAUGAUCCAAAGGUGUCUGAAGAUGUCAACACUGGGGACGUGUAUGCAAAACCCAACAAGGCUUGAAGGGCAUAGGUGUGUGAAAUAUAUAUAAAACUACAUUUUUUCUAAAAACAUCGUAUCAUUCCGACUCAUUCAUAAACUUGUGGUUUUGAAUGGCUGCCAAAGAGUGAUGAUAGCAGAUAUUAGAGAAAAGGUGAGGUAAAACCUGACCUAAUUUCAUCCUUGAAAUGUUGAAUACUU